GUGUCAGCCGCCGCGGUAAUACGUAGGGUGCGAGCGUUGUCCGGAAUUACUGGGCGUAAAGAGCUCGUAGGCGGUUUGUCGCGUCGUCUGUGAAAUCCCGCAGCUCAACUGCGGGCUUGCAGGCGAUACGGGCAGACUUGAGUACUGCAGGGGAGACUGGAAUUCCUGGUGUAGCGGUGAAAUGCGCAGAUAUCAGGAGGAACACCGGUGGCGAAGGCGGGUCUCUGGGCAGUAACUGACGCUGAGGAGCGAAAGCGUGGGUAGCGAACAGGAUUAGAAACCCCGGUAGUCC
rnacentral:rRNA from 1 species